rnacentral:rRNA from 1 species
AUUGAACGCUGGCGGCAGGCCUAACACAUGCAAGUCGAGCGGAUGAGGAGAGCUUGCUCUCUGAUUUAGCGGCGGACGGGUGAGUAAUGCCUAGGAAUCUGCCUGGUAGUGGGGGAUAACGUCCGGAAACGGGCGCUAAUACCGCAUACGUCCUACGGGAGAAAGCAGGGGACCUUCGGGCCUUGCGCUAUCAGAUGAGCCUAGGUCGGAUUAGCUAGUUGGUGAGGUAAUGGCUCACCAAGGCGACGAUCCGUAACUGGUCUGAGGGGAUGAUCAGUCACACUGGAACUGAGACACGGUCCAGACUCCUACGGGAGGCAGCAGUGGGGAAUAUUGGACAAUGGGCGAAAGCCUGAUCCAGCCAUGCCGCGUGUGUGAGGAAGGUCUUCGGAUUGUAAAGCACUUUAAGUUGGGAGGAAGGGCAGUAAGUUAAUACCUUGCUGUUUUGACGUUACCGACAGAAUAAGCACCGGCUAACUUCGUGCCAGCCGCCGCAGUAAGAC